UGUCUCUUUAAAUNGGCUUGCCCAAGGAGU
rnacentral:piRNA from 1 species